rnacentral:lncRNA from 1 species
AUUCUGUGCGAGGCCCAGGGGAAGGUGAGGAAGCAGCCGCUGGCCCUUAGGGAUCUUGGCUGUGACAGGCCACAUUGUAAAUCACCUUGUGAGGGCAAAAUGCAAAGAGGUGACCCUGCACAAGGACGGGCCCCUGGGGGAGACAGUCCUGGAGUGCUACAACUGCGGCUGUCGCAACGUCUUCCUCCUCGGCUUCAUCCCGGCCAAAGCUGACUCAGUGGUGGUGCUGCUGUGCAGGCAGCCCUGUGCCAGCCAGAGCAGCCUCAAGGACAUCAACUGGGACAGCUCGCAGUGGCAGCCGCUGAUCCAGGACCGCUGCUUCCUGUCCUGGCUGGUCAAGAUCCCCUCCGAGCAGGAGCAGCUGCGGGCACGCCAGAUCACGGCACAGCAGAUCAACAAGCUGGAGGAGCUGUGGAAGGAAAACCCUUCUGCCACGCUGGAGGACCUGGAGAAGCCGGGGGUGGACGAGGAGCCGCAGCAUGUCCUCCUGCGGUACGAGGACGCCUACCAGUACCAGAACAUAUUCGGGCCCCUGGUCAAGCUGGAGGCCGACUACGACAAGAAGCUGAAGGAGUCCCAG